ACCUUCUACUGUAAGGUGAUUAUCCAUCUCCUCUGAGAACGGUUCUUGUAGAAGUGGAAAAGUCGCUCUCUAACUCUAUACUUUUUCAACACCUUUUAACAUCAAGCAUCAACUACCUUGAAGAACAUUUUAUAAUUUAUGUCACAUCCAUGGGCCAAUCAGACUUCAUCUUCUGUCUCAUACUUAUUCUCUCCUUCGUGGCCAAGAGUAAAUUCUUCAGUUUCACCGUUUUCCUCAAAAGCUUUUCAUCCACAUUCCACCAAAGCCUCACUCUUCAGAAGCCUUAUCAAACGACCCGUAAAUUGCAUCAAGCUUGUGGAAAGCACCCUUGGUCCAGAUUACAAACCUACCCAAAUGACCUCCGGGAGCAAGCUUCAACAAGUUGAGCCUAUCAACAUGGCAGAUUUCGACACCGGGAAGGUUCCUGAAUUCCUUCACAAGCUUAGCACCCUCAGUCGCGUAGACGAUUGUUCCAUAAGUUGACAUUUACUUUUAAAAACCCAUGCUGGGAAAACUUUGAGCUUCUUGGUUUAAAAGUUGGUCUUUAUUUCUUAGAUAUCCUAUUAGAUGGAUGGAGCUUUGUAACUUUCAAGUUUUUUUUCCCCGUAACUACAAUGUUUGGUAGCUAGUACAAAAAAGCUCAGUUCGCAAUUGUUGUUCUGAUCUAGUGAAUUGAGUUUGUGAAAUGAAAGAUCAGAUCCGAAGCAUCAGAUCAGAAGCAUGCUUGUGAACUGAUCUGCUUCGGAUCUGAUCUUUCAUUUCACAAACUCUGUUGCUGCUUCUGAUCUGUUCUUUCAUUUUUGUUGCGAGAAGAUCAGAACACUCACAACUGAUAUGCUGCUUCUUGUGCUGAACCAUAGACUAUUACAUACUGAUAAUUUCUUGUACUGAUCUGCUGUACUGAUCAGUUCACCAGAUCAGAACAGCAGUUGUGAACUGAUCUGCUGUGAACUGAUGCUGCAGAUUUAUUGUGAACUUAUGUUGCAGAUUUGUUGCGUGCAGAUCAGAAGCAGCAGCAGAUCAGAACAUCAGUUGUGAAACUGAUCUGCUGCUGCUUUGAUCUGAUGCUGCAGAUCUGUUGCGAGCAGAUCAGAAGCAGCAGCAAUCAGAUCAGAAGUUGUGAAUCUGAUCUGCUACUUCCAAUCUGGUGUUCGAGCCAAAAGUUGUUGCUCACUCUACUAAUAUCUUUCUCGUUAUUUAAUUUAGUUAUUUAAUUUGUUCAACAUAUCAAUUUUUAAUUUAUAUGCAAACAUGAUAUUGCAACUAAAAGCUCUUAUUGCGGAGGUGUAGUGUGUUGAAGAAAUCAAAUGGAAGUAGAUCAAGACCCCUCUAUGGAAAUCAGUGAAGGGUGCACAACAAACAGGCAAUACGGAGUGCGGCUACUACGUGAUGAAGUACAUGUACGAUAUAGUUACAAGUUGUACGGAUGUCAAGGAUCUCGAAGAGGCACGAUCCUUAAAUAAGCCAUUUUAGCCAAUAUUUGAAAUAUAAUUAACUAACGAGCCUUAAAUGUGCAUAAGUUAACUAAUAUGUGCAUAAAUUAACCUAUAUGGGUGAUAAUGAGUCUUUGAAACAUAAAAAUAAGUGUAUUGAACAUGAAAAAGCUUUAAAAUACUUAUUUUGGUUCAUUAGUUGAAAGUUGGGGCCGAAAUUAGCCAUUUUAGUCAAAAUGUGACCGAUAAUGAACUAACGAGGCUUAAAUGUGCAUAACUUCACCAAAAUGGGUGAGAAUGAGUCUUUGAAACACAAAACUAAGUUUAUCAAACAUGGAAAGACGUUAAAAUACUCAUUUAAGUUCAUUAGUUGAAAGUUGAGACCAAAAUAAGCCAUUUUAGUCAAAAUGUGAUCGAUAAUGAUCAAACGAGUCUUAAAUGUGCAUAACUUCACCAAAAUGGGUGAGAAUGAGUCUUUGAAAUAUAAAAAUAAGUGUAACAAACAUGUAAAGACUUUAAAAUACUUAUUUACGUUCAUUAGUUGAAAGUUGGGACCGAAAUUAGCCAUUUUAGUCAAAAUGUGACCAAUAAUGAACUAACGAGGCUUAAAUGUGCAUAACUUCACCAAAAUGGGUGAGAAUGAGUCUUUGAAAUAUAAAACUAAGUGUAUAAAACAUGAAAAGACUUUAAAAUACUCAUUUAAGUUCAUUAGUUGAAAGUUGGAACCAAAAUUAGCCAUUUUAGUCAAAACGUGACCGAUAAUGAACUAACGAGGCUUAAAUGUGCAAAACUUCACCAAAAUGGUGAGAGAGAGUCUUUGAAACAUAUAACUAAGUGUAUUAAACAUGGAAAGACUUUAAAAUACUCAUUUAAUUUCAUUAGUUGAAAGUUGGAACCGAAAUUAGCCAUUUUAGUAAAAAUGUGUCCGAUAAUGAUCAAAUGAGUCUUAAAUGUGCAUAACUUCACAAAAAUGGGUGAGAAUGAGUCUUUGAAACUUAAAAAUAAGUUUAUUGAACAUAGAAAAGCUUUAAAAUACUUAUUUUAGUUCAUUAGUUGAAAGUUAUGGCCGAAAUUAGUCAUUUUAGUCAAAAUGUGACCGAUAAUGAACUAACGAGGCUUAAAUGUGCAUAACUUCCCCAAAAUGGGUGAGAAAGAGUCUUUGAAACAUAAAACUAAGUGUAUCAAACAUGGAAAGACUUUAAAAUACUCAUUUAAGUUCAUUAGUUGAAAGUUGGAACUGAAAUUAGCCAUUUUAGUCAAAACGUGACCGAUAAUGAACUAACGAGGCUUAAAUGUGCAGAAGUUCACCAAAAUGGUGAGAAUGAGUCUUUGAAACAUAAAACUAAGUGUAUUAAACAUGGAAAGACUUUAAAAUACUCAUUUAAGUUCAUUAAUUGAAAGUUGGGACCGAAAUUAGUCAUUUUAGUCAAAAUGUGUCCGAUAAUGAUCAAACGAGUCUUAAAUGUUCCUAACUUCACCAAAAUGGUGAGAAUGAGUCUUUGAAACAUAAAAAUAAAUGUAUUGAACAUGGAAAAGCUUUAAAAUACUUAUUUUAGUUCAUUAGGUUAAAGUUGGGGCCGAAAUUAGCCAUUUUAGUCAAAAUGUGACCGAUAAUGAACUAACGAGGCUUUAAUGUGCAUAACUUCACCAAAAUGGGUGAGAAUGAGUCUUUGAAACAUAAAACUAAGUGUAUUAAACAUGAAAGGACUUUAAAAUACUCAUUUAAGUUCAUUAGAUGAAAGUUGUGACCGAAAUUAACCAAUUUUAUUAUUAUACGGUUCAUUAUUUCUUUGUUAUGAACAAAUUAAGUCUUAAUUUAUUGUACGAUUCAAUAUUUAUAAUAUAACUAAAGUGUAUAUAUACUUUUUGAUGGUCGAUCUUUUUAAGGUAUUCAAUGGCCCGAGGGAGCGGCCUUUCACCUUUGAGGAGAUAGAUGAAGUUCGAGAAAUGUUGGCAAACUUCAUUAUCAGUGAUUGUCUUUGAUAUUUUCUUGUACUGAAUCUUAAAUUAUGGAUGUUAGUUUUUCAUAUGAUUGUAAUGUAAUCGACUUUUAUAUUUACAAUUAUAUACUAUUUAAUUUAAUUAUCUAUAUAAUUGGAUACUUUUUAUGUGA